rnacentral:tmRNA from 1 species
GGGGGCGAAUGGCUUUCGACGGGGUUGUCACCGUUCGGAUUGCGUGCCCGGGAACCCAUCUACCCGGAUAAACUGGUGGGGAAUUACAAACGCCAACGACAACGCGUUUGCCCUCGCAGCCUAAGAAACUGUGAGGUGGUCGGUACGGGGCUUGCUCACGGCGCCGGAACGAUCAUCAUCCAAUGUGAGCUGUGCUGAGUCGGAGUCCCGACGACAAGGCGAGAUAAAGGGAACCGGCCCGUCGCAUCCUGCCCGUGGGAGUCGACGAAGCCUAAAUAAAUCACGGAAACUACGCACGUAGACGUCCGCGCGGAGCAGUUUCGGACCGGGGUUCGAAUCCCCGCGCCUCCACUU